UUUGUCCUACGGGACGCAGCAGUGGGGAAUAUUGGGCAAUGGACGCAAGUCUGACCCAGCAACGCCGCGUGAAGGAAGAAGGCUUUCGGGUUGUAAACUUCUUUUAAGGGGGAAGAGCAGAAGACGGUACCCCUUGAAUAAGCCACGGCUAACUACGUGCCAGCAGCCGCGGUAAUACGUAGGUGGCAAGCGUUGUCCGGAUUUACUGGGUGUAAAGGGCGUGCAGCCGGGAAGACAAGUCAGAUGUGAAAUCCCGCGGCUCAACCGCGGAACUGCAUUUGAAACUGUUUUUCU
rnacentral:rRNA from 1 species